rnacentral:rRNA from 1 species
AUUGAACGCUGGCGGCAGGCCUAACACAUGCAAGUCGAGCGAGUGGCGGACGGGUGAGUAAUGUCUGGGAAACUGCCUGAUGGAGGGGGAUAACUACUGGAAACGGUAGCUAAUACCGCAUACCAUCAGAUGUGCCCAGAUGGGAUUAGCUAGUAGGUGGGGUAACGGCUCACCUAGGCGACGAUCCCUAGCUGGUCUGAGAGGAUGACCCGCCACACUGGGAAUGGGACAGGGGCCAGGAUCCUUCGGGAGGCAGCAGUGGGGGAUAAUGGACAAUGGGCGGAAACCUGAUGCAGCCAUGGCGCGUGUAAUAAGGAGGGCUUCGGGUUGUGAAGUACUUUCAGCGGGGGAGCGUUAACCGCAGAAAGAACACCGGCUAACUCCGUGCCAACAGCCGCGGUAAUUC